AAACAGGAAGUGGUGCAAGAAUACCACUGUCAACAAGCCGGAACCGGUGUAAAAGUUGCUGUAUUUUGGAUGAGUUAAACAUAACAGACAGUUCAAGGGGCCUGUACAGCUUGUUUGUGAGGAGAUCAGGGUGAUUUUUGAUACCUUCUGAGUCAGAGUGUGCAUAUUCUUCAGCCAAGGUCUGAGUCCUAGACAAGGGUCUGAGUGGAGUAGUAUUUGUUUCAGAACCAUCAACAUCUC
rnacentral:lncRNA from 1 species